AGCAGCCGCGGGGGCCUGAGUCGCCCCGGGCCCUCCGCCAGGGAUGGGCCCCACGGGUCCCGGGGAGGCUCGGCACGUCCCGAUCCCCCUCCACGGAGCCGCCGCACCGCAGAGGCCUCCCCCACGGCCGAGGAACACGUGCGCCUCCCGGGGCCGUUCGCCCGCCCCCCGCGAGCGCUUACCCCGACCUCGGCGGCGGGCCUCCGGCAGCCGGGCCCGCGCCCCCAGCGAAGCCCUCACCGCCGCCGCGCCGCCGCUCGCAGUCCCGCCCCCGCUUAAAGCGGCCGCCGGGCGGACGGAGAACUAGGCCCCGGCGCACCGCCCCCAAGUGUUCUCCAGGGCCACGGAAAGGCCCAUUUGUUCUGCACCUGCGUCUCCUUGAGCUGGACUGCAAAGGACCACUUUCUGUCCGCUCCUGUCUGAUGCACUCCACCCAGGGCAAAAAUGGAGGGAGAAAGGCUUCGGGCCAGGACAAGGAGUGGGGAGGAACAGCCUGAUGCCCAGGUGAGGUGGCAUGGGCCGGACCAAGAGGUGCCUGAAAGGGAAAAUUACUGUCCAGUCUCACUUAUAGACUCAACCUAUGAGAGAGGUUCAAUAGUGAGCUGUACCUGAUGACCUAUGUUACCGUGUUGGAUGGACAGAUGGAAAGUGAUGACCUGAAGUGCACCAUCUCCAAUCCCAUUUCAUUUCCUGUACCUACACCUCUCCCUGCCGGUUUACCACUCCCUUGAGGAAUCUUUGUGGUCCCUGCCCAAACUGAUACAUUUCACACCUUGCAGUACAUAGAGCUUGCAAAGCCGACACUUUGAAGGAAAGAUGCCCCUUCGGAAGCAAGUUCUUUUCCUGUUUAUUAUUGCCACAAAACAAAAUGCAGCUGAAACUGGAUCUGUAAGUGGAGGUUUUAGAGUUAAUUAUUUCUUACCCCCAUGUUUGCAAGUAAAAUCCUCUAUGGUCCCUCCACCACCACCCCUCAAAGUAGGAGGUUCAAAAUUGGGGAAAAAGACUAAAAAUUCUGAGGGCUUGAAAUUGGUGUGCUGAGGGCUGUUUAAUAUUUUUUACAGGAUAGAGAGAAAAUCUGGGUAGAUACACCCUUUGAUAAAUUUCAGCCUAAUUGCAUAUGAUAAAGAUCCUGACAUUAGAAGAAUUCCCUCACUUUCCAGAGGCCUGAAUUUGAUCAAAGUACCCGUCACACGGUUAUGAUUUUUGUUUGUUUUCUUGUCUGUCUCCUGAAUUAGAGGUUAGGAACAGUAUCAGCUGCAUCCCUAUCGGGUAAAUUAAAUCAUGUGCCUCCUCUGCUUAAAACCCUACUAAGGCUUUUCAGCUUCUCCCUGCCCUUGGCCACUGCCAUGUUGCACCCGAGCAUUCCUACAUCACGUUGUGGCCACGGUGGACUAGCUGUGCUUCACACCCCCCACACACUGUUCCUGCCUAAGGCCCUGUGCAGUUAACCUGCCUGUCUGGAAUGUUCUUCCCUCAAAGGCACAAAACUGGCUCCUUGUCCUUGCUCAACUCAGAUGCCACCUCCUUAGAGAGAGGCCUUCUUUAAGGGUAAAUAUAAGGAAACUCUUCCCAGUCAAUUGUAUCUCAUAAGACCAGUUCCCCCCACAUCCUCACAAUCUGAAAUUAUCUUACUCAUUUAUCAUGUUUCCCCUCCUGAAUGGUAAGUUCUUUUCCUGUCUUUACCACUGUAUUUUCAUUGCCCAUUGGAUGUUGUCUUUCAUCAACUAGAACUGUCAAAACAAAAUAUCACAGAGCAGGAAGCUGAAACAACAGAAUUUUGUUUCUUACCAUUCUGUGCUCCAGGUAGGAAUAGAUAGAGAGUGGUCUAGAGACUGGUCCAAGAUCAAGGUUCUGGCAGAUAGGCCUCACUUUGAGGCCUGUUCUCUUGGUUUGUGGGUGCCCACCGUCUCACAGUAUGUGCACAUGAUCUCUUCCUUGUGGACCAGUGAGAGAGAGAGCUCAGUUCUAUCAGAUUAGGACCCUAUCCUUAUGACCUCAUUUAACCUAAUUAUCUUUUUAGAGGCUCUCUGUCUAAAUAGUCACAUUGGGGUUUGGUCCUUAACAUGUGAUGGGGGGAAGGGGCACAAUUCAGUCCACAACAUGUUACUCAACUCUAUUGUCACUAUAACAAAUUCUUGAGCUAAACAACUUAUAUAAAGAAAAAAGGUUUAUUUUGGCUCAUAGUGUUAGAGGUUUCAAUCCAUGUUCAGUGAGCCCUCCUUGUUUCUUUUGGGCCUCUAGUGAGGCAGCACACCAUGGCCCAGAGUGCAGGAAGGAGCAAAGCCAAAGACAGCGGAAGAGUCCUGGGUUCCACCAUCCCCUUCAGAGGCGCACCCCCAGUGACCCAGAGACUUUCCACUUGGCCCCACCUCUUAAAGUGUCCCCACCACUUUCUAAUAUCACCAUGCUGGAGCCCAAACCUUUAAUACAUAGGCCUUAGGAAGACAGUCCAUAACCAAACUGGUAUUUAAUCAGCAAAUGAAUAAUUGUGGUCCCUGUCUGGAAUAAUGCUCCCUAUAGGGCAAAGAUCACCUGAAGCAUUAGAAAGAAGCCAAGGGGCAGGGAAUUUAGCUCACUAUACCUGUAGAGCACUUGCCUAGCAUUCUGAAGACCCUGGGCUCAAGCCCCAGCUCCACCAAAAAAAAAAAAAAAAAAAAAAAAAAAAGCA